rnacentral:rRNA from 1 species
UACGAAGGGGGCUAGCGUUGUUCGGAAUCACUGGGCGUAAAGCGCACGUAGGCGGAUCUUUAAGUCAGAGGUGAAAUCCCAAGGCUCAACCUUGGAACUGCCUUCGAUACUGGUGGUCUGGGAGUCCGGGGAGAGGUGAGUGGAACUCCCAGUGUAGAGGUGAAAUUCGUAGAUAUUGGGAAGAACACCGGUGGCGAAGGCGGCUCACUGGCUCAUUACUGACGCUCAGGCGCGAUAGCGUGGGGAUCAAACAGG